GUGUGGUGGCCUGGCAUUCAAUCUGUGAGGUGGAUGCGUGUUGGAAGGACCCCUUUUGGUUUCUUUUUGCUCAGAGCUUUCUUUUAAUAAAUUCCGCUCUCCUCACCUUUCAAUGUGUCCGUAUGCCUAAUUUUUCCUGGUCCUGUGACAAGAACCUGAUUUUAGCUGAACUAAGGAGCGAAAGAUCCUGGAUCAUUUUGGUGACCCAUACUGGUACAUGAGGAAAGCAGGUCACAAAACCCUCCUGUGAGAGGAACCCUCUGUGGAAGAACAGAAUAUGUCACCCCAAAAUAUGAAGAAUUGUUGAGCUGAAGAUGAUUAAGAAGAAGCGGAUGCAGGAAAGCUCUCUGCUCUCCCUCUAUUUGCUUAAAAGCAGGAUAAACACUUACAAAGACUAAAGACGCCACAAUCAAGAACUCAGAAGGGUAGAAGAAAAAGAUAGUUUCCCUUCCCUACACAGGGUCCAUGCAUUCAGUGGAGUAAUGAUUCCUGUCCAUGAAAAAAAAAAAAGAAAGUAGAAAAUUUCAGAGAAGAGAAAAAUUUUCCACUUGGGAGCAAGGGCAUGAGGGCAGCGGGGAAGUGGUGUUGAUCCCUUCAUAAAUAUUAUGCAUGCUAAGCCCUAUCUCAAGGUCUACAUCCAGGAGAACCCAACCUGCAACAUUAAGUUACUGACUGUGCAAGAACCCUUUGAUCACGUACCUUACAGACCAAGAUAAGUGAGGAUGCCCAUGUAUAACCUGCUGUCUUUCUGGUCUCUUAUGUUUUUGUACCAGAAAGGGACAACUUUUUGGGUAACCAUAGGUCUCUAGUAUAUCUGUGAUUACAAUAAAGAUUUUUGAUAUACCAAAACUGAUGAACCAAAAUUCCACUGAAAUAGCGAGUAAAUGGAGUUCUUUUAUCCUUUGCAGUAUACCAGGGUGAACUUUUUACAUGAUUUCUUGCUCCAAAGGGAGAAGUGUUAUGACAAAGUACAUUUAAGGACCCUAACUGAUCACAGAAAAAAUAUUAAUGGCAUUGGGAAAAAAAUGCAGACUAAUGAAUCCACUACUAAAUUUUAUCUAUCUUGUAGCUCUAAAAUUGCACUGUUUAGAAUACACUAUGGUAGCCACUAGACAUAUGGCUACUUGAACUUGAAUUGGUUAAAAUCAAAAUUAAGAAUUUAAUUUCUCACUCACAUUAGCCACAUUUCAAGUGCUCAACAGACACAUGUGGCUAGUGUCUACCAUAUUGGACAGCAUAGAUUUAAAGCACAUUUCCAUCAUUGCAACACUGCAAUAUGGAGGAUGUAUCCUCAAUACAUUGAUAUUGCCCCCUCAAAAUUCAUAACCCCUAGAUAUCUUAUCUCUGUAUGUGAGGAUAGUGUAUUAACUUGCACCUGGACUGAGAUAGAUAAAUGCUUAUCUCCAGAGAUGUCUGAAAGUCUGGUACUGACCCUUGUCUAAGAUAAGGAUGGAAUGUGCUGGUUAAUGAUUUAUACUGUGCUAUACAAAGUCCAAAAUUCCUUUGGAGGUAUCCUCUGCUGGCUUGUCUACAUUGUUUAAGGAUGGAUAGGUUGAUGGUUUGCACCUGCUUUAAUCAUUUACACAUUCUGAUUUUAUUUGUGAUCAGUGGAGGAUAAAACCUUCAAUAAACUUGUGUCUUAGCUUCCUUGAUAUUAAGAUAUCUUGCACAUAUCUUAGAUUUUUAUAAUCUGAAUGCAAAGCACAUCCUUUGCAAUUGAGAAAGGACUCUGUGAGCUGCUCCUGGAUAUGUGAAACCCCUCAGUGACUGACCGUAUUUUCUUUCUUCUGCUGUACUUGCCCUUAUUAAAGCCUUACAUGUGAAGUAAGUCCUUUCAAUUGUCUGACUCCGGGUGAUUGUUAUACCCUUUGAUAUAGUUUGGAUAUUUGUGCCUUCCAAAUCUCAUGUUGAAAUGCGAUCCCCUAUGUUGGAGGUGGAGCCUAGUAGGAGGUGUUAGGGUCACGGGAAUGGAUCCCUGAUGAAUGGCUUGGUACACAGUAAUGAGUGAGUUUGUGCUUUAUUAGUUACUGUGAGAUUUACUUGGUAAAAAGAGCCUGGCAACUCCUCCCUCUCCCUUGCUCCCUCUCUUGCCAUGUGACAUGCUUGCUCCAGCUGCACCUUUUGCCACAAUUGUAAGCUUUGUGAGUCCCUCAACAGAAGCUGAGCAAAUGCUGGCACCAUGCUUCUUGUACAGCCUACAGAACUGUGAACCAAAUAAAACUUUUAUUUUUAUAAAUUAUC
rnacentral:lncRNA from 10 species